AUUGAACGCUGGCGGCAGGCCUAACACAUGCAAGUCGAACGAGUGGCGGACGGGUGAGUUAUGUCUGGGAAACUGCCUGAUGGAGGGGUAUAACUACUGGAAACGGUAGCUACUACCGCCUACCAUCAGCUGUGCCCAGAUGGGAUAAGCUUGUGGGUGGGGUAUCGGCUCACCAAGGCGACGAUCCCUAGCUGGUCUGAGAGGAUGACCAGCCACACUGGAACUGAGACACGGUCCAGACUCCUACGGGAGGCAGCAGUGGGGAAUAUUGGACAAUGGGCGAAAGCCUGAUGCAGCCAUGCCGCGUGUGUGAAGAAGGCCUUCGGAUUGUAAAGUACUUUCAGCGGGGAGGCGUUACCCACAGAAGAAGCACCGGCUAACUCCGUGCCAGCAGCCGCGGUAAUUC
rnacentral:rRNA from 1 species